UCUCUUUUUUUAACUACAGAGUGAGGCAUGACACUUCGUUUUCAUUUUUUAUGGGAGUCCCACAUGCCCAGUACCUAGGUAAGGACUACUAGCCAGUCAGAAGCAGAGUGUGAGGGCGUGCCACGCUAACAGCUAGGCGAGCAUCAUAACGUGUGUUGCAGGGUGACGCAUGUUCGUCUCUGAAGUAAAGGCUGGACUACAAUACAGCAGUUUGGAGCAGUUUGUGCACAGUGUUUUCUGUUGGAGAUGGUAAGUCCUUUUGGGGAGGACGACUUUGGGCUUUUGCACUCUGUAAACCAAUAACGUGCACAAAAAAAGAUAUAUAACACAAUAAAGGAAAGGGAAAAAA